rnacentral:rRNA from 1 species
AUUGAACGCUGGCGGCAGGCCUAACACAUGCAAGUCGAACGAGUGGCGGACGGGUGAGUAAUGUCUGGGAAACUGCCUGAUGGAGGGGGAUAACUACUGGAAACGGUAGCUAAUACCGCAUACCAUCGGAUGUGCCCAGAUGGGAUUAGCUAGUAGGUGGGGUAACGGCGCACCUAGGCGACGAUCCCUAGCUGGUCUGAGAGGAUGACCAGCUAGUCUGGAACUGAGACACGGUCCAAACUCCUACGGGAGGCAGCAGUGGGGAAUAUUGCACAAUGGGCGCAAGCCGGAUGCAGCCAUGCCGCGGGUAUGAAGAAGUCCUUCGGGUUGUAAAGUACUUUCAGCGGGGAGGCGUUACCCGCAGAAGAAGCACCGGCUAACUCCUUGCCAGCAGCCGCGGUAAUUC